GGGAGUGAUUUAGGAUUUCCCAGACACACCCUCUCCAAUGGGCGGAACUUAUGGAGUCAUCUCACAACUGACUAGCCGGCCCCUGCCUCCAGCAGCUCUCUCCUCUGUCAUGUGUCCAGUCCGAACAUUACUGGCCCCUUUUUGUUCAAGUUAACUUUUUGGACAAGUAUAACAAGUUUCUGUUGUGUGUCAAUGAGGAACAGAAUUUCCCGUCUCUUUGUCCUUGGAUUCCUCUUCAUUGUCAGUGGGACGAUAACAAACGACAGAGGCCGAGUUCCUUCCCGAAUGAUUCAGGCAGAGAGAUGGGGUGCGGUGUGAUCUGACUAAAGGCUGAUGGGAGUGCGGUGAUCAUGCAGGAACAGAAUCUUGGAAUGGAAUGCAUCAAGAUGAGCACAAGACAAACUCUGUGUCACUCAAACAGUAGCAGGAAGUGUCCCUUAGAAGGAAUAUAGAGCUCAUCUAAUUAUUUUCUGCCUCUCUCUCCUUCUGCUGGUUCCACCCAAGGCUGAUAGUAAGAACAGUUAUCAAAGUAUGAAAUGUAAUCUUGCCCCAUUCCACAACAUGUAAUCAUCAAGGCAAUGUUUUCAACAGGAAAAUGUGAAUUUCCUCUCAUGAGUGAUUUUCUGAAUCAUAAAACUGUGGACUGUAAAUAAUGUGAUAAUUAUCAUUUCUACACUGACAUUUACAAACUUUACCAACUGAAAUUAGAUUUGAAGAGUUUUUACAAAAAACUGUUAUUAAACUGUUACUGGAUAGAACUAUGUUAAAAUGUGAGCAAUAACCUGCCUCCGACUUACCAGCUUUAUCUCCUGCCCUGUGCCUCAGAUAAACAUGAUGUGGAAUCUGCUUGUCAUGACUGAUAUUUUCCAACACUGGCAAAUAGCUGCUCAGAAGUGAGCACCGCUACAUCUGACCUCUCAGUUUAC